AUGGCGCCCGUGGCAGUGCUUGUGCCGUGGCUAGCAUGGCUCGUCGUCUCUUUCCUCUCCGUCUACCUCCUCAACCUCCUCUCUCGCGCGCGUUCCGGCCUCCCGCCGGGCCCCCGCCCGCUGCCGCUCAUCGGCAGCCUCCACCUUCUCGGUGACAAGCCACACCGCUCCCUCGCCGGCCUGGCCAAGACCCACGGCCCGCUCAUGUCCCUGCGCCUCGGCGCGGUCACCACGGUGGUCGUCUCCUCCCCCGCCAUGGCCCGGGAGUUCCUGCAGCGGCACGACUCCGCGUUCGCCGCCCGGUCCGUGCCCGACGCCACCGGCGAGCACGCGGCGGGCUCCGUGGCCUGGCUACCCCCCGCGCCGCGGUGGCGCGCGCUGCGCAAGAUGAUGGCCACGGAGCUGUUCGCCCCGCACCGGCUCGACGCGCUGCGCCACCUCCGGAGCGAGAAGGUGCGGGAACUCGUGGACCAUGUCGCGCGGCUGGCACGCGAGGGCGCGCCGGUGAACGUCGGCCGCGUGGCCUUCACGACGAGCCUGAACCUCCUCUCCCGCACCAUCUUCUCCGCCGACCUGACGAGCCUCGACGACGGCAGCCGGUCCGAGGAGUUCCAGCAGGUGGUGACGGCCACCAUGCAGGCCGUGGGGAGCCCCAACGUAUCGGACUUCUUCCCGCUGCUCGCGCCGGCCGACCUGCAGGGCACGCACCGGCGGCUGGCGCGGCUGCUCGCGCGGCUGCAUGUGGUGUUCGACGCCGAGGUGGACCAGAGGCUGCGCGGCCGCGACGCCGGCCAGCCCAGGAAGAACGACUUCCUCGACGUGCUGCUCGAUGUGGCGGCGCGUGAGGAUGGGAAGGACCUGCUGGACCGCCAGACGCUACGUUCACUUUUCACGGAUUUGUUCUCUGCUGGUAGUGACACAAGCUCUAGCACAGUGGAAUGGGCAAUGACAGAGCUGCUCCAAAACCCAUCAUCAAUGUCCAGCGCUUGCAACGAGCUUGCAGAAGUUAUUGGCUUCAAAAGAAACAUUGAAGAAGAUGAUAUUGUUCGGUUGCCCUAUCUCCAAGCUGUCAUAAAAGAGACUUUUCGACUUCAUCCUCCCGGUCCACUCUUGUUGCCACGGAAACCUGAGAGGACAGUGGAAAUAGCAGGUUACACAAUACCUAAAGAUUCGCGUGUGUUCAUAAACGUAUGGGCGAUAGGUCGAGACAAAGAUGUAUGGUCUGAGCCUGAGAAGUUUAUGCCAGAGAGGUUCUUGGGUUCAAGAAUUGACUUUAGGGGUGCUGAUUUUGAGCUCCUUCCAUUUGGUGCUGGACGUCGGAUCUGCCCUGGAAUGCCAUUGGCUAUUAGAACGGUGCAUUUGAUCCUCGCUUCGUUGUUAAACCAGUUUAAAUGGAGUCUCCCUGUUGAGCUUGAAAGGGAUGGAAUUGAUAUGGAAGAAAAGUUUGGCCUAUCACUAACGAAGGUUGUGCCUCUUUGUAUUGUACCAACACCGGUUUGA
rnacentral:rRNA from 1 species